GGCUUUAUUUUCUCUAAGUUGUCAAUUUUAUUAGGCUUCUAUGUUGAGCUGAGUUUAUCUUCUUUUUUUUUUUCCUUUUCAGAAUUAAAAGGUCUGAGGACAUCCCUGUGGAAAUAUGGAGAUGAUUGAUUCAAUCCAGCGAUUUUAAGAAUGGUCUCCCGAAACCAACUUAUGAGUUAACUGUUAAAGGAGGAGACAAAGUUAAGCAUACAAAUAGAAGGAAUCGAGGUUACAAGUACAAAUUUGUAAAUUUAUGAUUUAUAAUUGAUGAUUCUAGGUAUAUGAUAUUAACUCUACUAUUAUGGAAUGAUUUUAGUAUAUAUAAGUAUAAUUUAUGCUAUUAGGUGUAUGGUACUCUAUUAUUAUAGUAUGAUGAUUUUAGUGUAGAAGUAUAAUUUUGAAACUUUAUGUUAUUAAUGGAUGAUUUUGGAUUUUUGGAUUAAAUAAAUUUUGGUGUAUGUUACUCGAGAAACAAUAGUAAAAGAAAAAAAUUAAUAGAAUUUAAAUCGGGUGCGAUAUGAACAGAUUUAAAAUAUUGUUUUUUAAAUCGGUUGAACCGAUUUUAUUUUGG
rnacentral:lncRNA from 1 species